rnacentral:sRNA from 1 species
UCGUAAACCUGAUGGUAGCGGCAGCCCCGAAGCAUGAGGGCUACAGCGAACAGCAGGGCUGUAA